CUAGUUCGGAUUGCAGGCUGAAACUCGCCUGCAUGAAGCUGGAAUUGCUAGUAAUCAUAGGUCAGCAUACUAUGGUGAAUACGUUCCCGGGCCUUGUACACACCGCCCGUCACACCAUGAGAGUUGAGAAUACCCGAAGUCCAUGUCAAAGUGGCCGAAGGUAGGCUUGAUGAUUGGGGUGAAGUCGUAACAAGGUAAC
rnacentral:rRNA from 1 species